UUGAACGCUGGCGGCAUGCCUUACACAUGCAAGUCGAACGGCAGCACGGGUGCUUGCACCUGGUGGCGAGUGGCGAACGGGUGAGUAAUACAUCGGAACAUGUCCUGUAGUGGGGGAUAGCCCGGCGAAAGCCGGAUUAAUACCGCAUACGAUCUACGGAUGAAAGCGGGGGACCUUCGGGCCUCGCGCUAUAGGGUUGGCCGAUGGCUGAUUAGCUAGUUGGUGGGGUAAAGGCCUACCAAGGCGACGAUCAGUAGCUGGUCUGAGAGGACGACCAGCCACACUGGGACUGAGACACGGCCCAGACUCCUACGGGGGGCAGCAGUGGGGAAUUUUGGACAAUGGGCGAAAGCCUGAUCCAGCAAUGCCGCGUGUGUGAAGAAGGCCUUCGGGUUGUAAAGCACUUUUGUCCGGAAAGAAAUCCUUGGCUCUAAUACAGUCGGGGGAUGACGGUACCGGAAGAAUAAGCACCGGCUAACUACGUGCCAGCAGCCGCGGUAAUACGUAGGGUGCGAGCGUUAAUCGGAAUUACUGGGCGUAAAGCGUGCGCAGGCGGUUUGCUAAGACCGAUGUGAAAUCCCCGGGCUCAACCUGGGAACUGCAUUGGUGACUGGCAGGCUAGAGUAUGGCAGAGGGGGGUAGAAUUCCACGUGUAGCAGUGAAAUGCGUAGAGAUGUGGAGGAAUACCGAUGGCGAAGGCAGCCCCCUGGGCCAAUACUGACGCUCAUGCACGAAAGCGUGGGGAGCAAACAGGAUUAGAUACCCUGAUAGUCCACGCCCUAAACGAUGUCAACUAGUUGUUGGGGAUUCAUUUCCUUAGUAACGUAGCUAACGCGUGAAGUUGACCGCCUGGGGAGUACGGUCGCAAGAUUAAAACUCAAAGGAAUUGACGGGGACCCGCACAAGCGGUGGAUGAUGUGGAUUAAUUCGAUGCAACGCGAAAAACCUUACCUACCCUUGACAUGGUCGGAAUCCCGCUGAGAGGUGGGAGUGCUCGAAAGAGAACCGGCGCACAGGUGCUGCAUGGCUGUCGUCAGCUCGUGUCGUGAGAUGUUGGGUUAAGUCCCGCAACGAGCGCAACCCUUGUCCUUAGUUGCUACGCAAGAGCACUCUAAGGAGACUGCCGGUGACAAACCGGAGGAAGGUGGGGAUGACGUCAAGUCCUCAUGGCCCUUAUGGGUAGGGCUUCACACGUCAUACAAUGGUCGGAACAGAGGGUUGCCAACCCGCGAGGGGGAGCUAAUCCCAGAAAACCGAUCGUAGUCCGGAUUGCACUCUGCAACUCGAGUGCAUGAAGCUGGAAUCGCUAGUAAUCGCGGAUCAGCAUGCCGCGGUGAAUACGUUCCCGGGUCUUGUACACACCGC
rnacentral:rRNA from 1 species